GAUGAACGCUGGCGGCGUGCCUAAUACAUGCAAGUCGAGCGAACGGAUGAGAAGCUUGCUCCUCUGACGUUAGCGGCGGACGGGUGAGUAACACGUGGAUAACCUACCUAUAAGACUGGGAUAACUUCGGGAAACCGGAGCUAAUACCGGAUAAUAUUUUGAACCGCAUGGUUCAAUAGUGAAAGACGGUUUUGCUGUCACUUAUAGAUGGAUCCGCGCUGCAUUAGCUAGUUGGUAAGGUAACGGCUUACCAAGGCAACGAUGCAUAGCCGACCUGAGAGGGUGAUCGGCCACACUGGAACUGAGACACGGUCCAGACUCCUACGGGAGGCAGCAGUAGGGAAUCUUCCGCAAAGGGCGAAAGCCUGACGGAGCAACGCCGCGUGAGUGAUGAAGGUCUUCGGAUCGUAAAACUCUGUUAUUAGGGAAGAACAUAUGUGUAAGUAACUGUGCACGUCUUGACGGUACCUAAUCAGAAAGCCACGGCUAACUACGUG
rnacentral:rRNA from 1 species